UGGGGAAUCUUCCGCAAUGGACGAAAGUCUGACGGAGCAACGCCGCGUGAGUGAUGACGGCCUUCGGGUUGUAAAGCUCUGUUAAUCGGGACGAAUGGCUACCAUGCGAAUAGUUUGGCAGUUUGACGGUACCGGAAUAGAAAGCCACGGCUAACUACGUGCCAGCAGCCGCGGUAAUACGUAGGUGGCAAGCGUUGUCCGGAAUUAUUGGGCGUAAAGCGCGCGCAGGCGGCUUCCCAAGUCCCUCUUAAAAGUGCGGGGCUUAACCCCGUGAUGGGAAGGAAACUGGGAAGCUGGAGUAUCGGAGAGGAAAGUGGAAUUCCUAGUGUAGCGGUGAAAUGCGUAGAGAUUAGGAAGAACACCGGUGGCGAAGGCGACUUUCUGGACGAAAACUGACGCUGAGGCGCGAAAGCGUGGGGAGCAAACAGGAUUAGAUACCCUGGUAGUCCACGCCGUAAACGAUGGAUACUAGGUGUAGGAGGUAUCGACCCCUCCUGUGCCGGAGUUAACGCAAUAAGUAUCCCGCCUGGGAAGUACGAUCGCAAGAUUA
rnacentral:rRNA from 1 species